GCAGCAUAUUCCUUCUUUAGUUUCUUGAAAUGGUGGAUUAUGUUUAUUUUUACAUGAUGAACAAGACCUGUAUACAUGUAAUAAAUUCCGUUUUGUCAUGGUAUGUAAAUCAGUUGCAUUAAGUUAAUAUUUUGUUGUCAAUUUUUGUAUUUUAAUUUGUAGAAGUUAGAAUAACUUUCCUUUUUAGUACUGUCUGGAUGAUUUUUGUAUCAGCAUAAUACUGGUCUUACAAAAUGAGUUGGAUAAUAUUUCCUCCUCUUUUCUGCAAAAGAUUAUAAAUGCUUUUUGUUAAUUCUUUUUUUUUUUUCUUUUUUAUACCGUGGAUCGAACUUGGAACCUUGCAUUGUUGAAGCAAGCACCAGACUCACUGAGCUACAUCCCCGGUCCAGCACUGGGCUUUGUUUUGGUUUUGUUUUUGUUGUUUUUUUGGUACCAGGGAUCGAAGUCGAAACCCUGUGCUUUCAAGACAGGCGCAGGACCCACUGAGCUAAAUCCCUGGCCCAGCACUGGACUUUUUUUUUGUUUUUAUUUUUGGUGUUUUUUGGGUACCAGGGAUAGAACUCAGAACCUUGCGCUUUCGAGGCAGGUGCUAGACCCACUGAGCUAAAUCCCCGGCCCAGCACUGGGCUUUUUACUUGACAUUCUUUGUCAAGUUGAUAUAAUUCCUAGCUUGAUGAAUUUUUAUGAUGAAUGGAUGUAGGACUUUUAGAAAUAAUUUUUUUCUAUGUCAAUUCAUAGCAGCAUAUUCCUUCUUUAGUUUGUUGAAAUAGUGGAUUAUGUUUACUUUUACAUGAUGAUCAAGGCUUGUAUGCAUGUAAUAAAUUCUGUUUUGUCAUGGUAUGUAAUUCAGUUGCAUUAAGUUAAUAUUUUGUUGUCAGUUUUUGUAUUUUCAUUUUUGGAGAAGUUAAAAUAGUUUUCUGUUUUAGUACUGUCUGUAUGAUUUUUGUAUCAGCAUAAUACUGGUCUUACAAAAUGAGUUGGGUAAUAUUUCCUCCUCUUUUCUGGAACAGAUUAUAAAUACUUGUUGUUAAUUCUUUUUUUUUUUUCCUUUUUUAUACCGGGGAUCGAACUUGGAACCUUGCUCUUUUGAGGCAGGCGCCAGACCCACUGAGCUACAUCCCCGGUCCAGCACUGGGCUUUGUUUUGGUUUUGUUUUUGUUGUUUUUUUGAUACCAGGGAUCG
rnacentral:lncRNA from 1 species